rnacentral:rRNA from 1 species
UAUCCAUCUCGUAUGGAUUAAAGCUUUAUGCGCUUUGGGAGGGGCCUGCGUAACAUUAGCUUGUUGGUGAGGUAAAAGCUCACCAAGGCUUCGAUGUUUAACUGGUUUGAGAGGAUGACCAGUCACACUGGGACUGAGAUACGGCCCAGACUCCUACGGGAGGCAGCAGUAAGGAAUCUUCCACAAUGGGGCAACCCUGAUGGAGCAAUACCGCGUGCAGGAUGAAGCGUUUCGGCGUGUAAACUGCUUUUAUCACCGAAGAUUAUGACUGUAGGUGAAGAAUAAGGACCGGCUAACUACGUG